CUACGGGGGGCAGCAGUGGGGAAUAUUUCACAAUGGGGGGAACCCUGAUGCAGCAACGCCGCGUGAAGGAAGACGGUUUUCGGAUUGUAAACUUCUAUCAAUAGGGAAGAAAGAAAUGACGGUACCUAAAUAAGAAGCCCCGGCUAACUCCGUGCCAGCAGCCGCGGUAAUACGGAGGAUGCGAGCGUUAUCCGGAUUUAUUGGGUUUAAAGGGUGCGCAGGCGGAGGUGCAAGUCAGCGGUCAAAUUGCGGGGCUCAACCCCGUACUGCCGUUGAAACUGCAUCCCUUGAGUGCGCGAGAAGUAUGCGGAAUGCGUGGUGUAGCGGUGAAAUGCAUAGAUAUCACGCAGAACUCCGAUUGCGAAGGCAGCAUACCGGCGCGCAACUGACGCUCAUGCACGAAAGCGUGGGUAUCGAACAGGAUUAGAUACCCGGGUAGUC
rnacentral:rRNA from 1 species